GACGAACGCUGGCGGCGUGCUUAACACAUGCAAGUCGAACGGAAAGGCCCUUCGGGGUACUCGAGUGGCGAACGGGUGAGUAACACGUGGGUGAUCUGCCCUGCACUUUGGGAUAAGCCUGGGAAACUGGGUCUAAUACCGAAUAGGACCGCGCGCUUCAUGGUGUGUGGUGGAAAGCUUUUGCGGUGUGGGAUGGGCCCGCGGCCUAUCAGCUUGUUGGUGGGGUAAUGGCCUACCAAGGCGACGACGGGUAGCCGGCCUGAGAGGGUGACCGGCCACACUGGGACUGAGAUACGGCCCAGACUCCUACGGGAGGCAGCAGUGUGGAAUAUUGCACAAUGGGCGCAAGCCUGAUGCAGCGACGCCGCGUGAGGGAUGACGGCCUUCGGGUUGUAAACCUCUUUCACCAGGGACGAAGCGCAAGUGACGGUACCUGGAGAAGAAGCACCGGCCAACUACGUG
rnacentral:rRNA from 1 species